rnacentral:sRNA from 1 species
AUUCUGCCCAUGUGGGGAAGGAUGAGAAGCUUCGACCAAGGUUCGACUCGAGCGCCAGCGAGAGAGCGUUGCCGCAGGCAACGACCCGAAGGGCGAAGCGCGCAGCGCUGAGUAAUCCUUCCCCCACCACCA